rnacentral:rRNA from 1 species
UACGUAGGGACCAAGCGUUGUUCGGAUUUACUGGGCGUAAAGGGCGCGUAGGCGGCGUGGUAAGUCACUUGUGAAAUCUCUGAGCUUAACUCAGAACGGUCAAGUGAUACUGCUGUGCUAGAGUGCGGAAGGGGCAAUCGGAAUUCUUGGUGUAGCGGUGAAAUGCGUAGAUAUCAAGAGGAACACCUGAGGUGAAAGACGGGUUGCUGGGCCGACACUGACGCUGAUGCGCGAAAGCCAGGGGAGCAAACGGG